rnacentral:sRNA from 1 species
AAACAACAAAUUAAAUACAAAAUUAGUGUUAUUCCGGCAUAAAAAAUGAACUGAAAAAAGUCAUAGCCGGAGCGCGCAGCGAUUGUUGCUUUUCCGCGCUGGCAACGCUGAGAGAGCGCCUCUCCAAUUCGUCGGCACACUCGUGACGUCACAUGCCACUGACUGCGUUUUGUGCGUAAGCCAGCUAUUAUUUUCUUUUCUGUUUAAGUUCAUACGUUUCAAAAUUUAAAUAAAGGUGGCAACGCUGUCAGAGAACGCUGUCUUGUCCAUAAAUAAAGGAUGUGGCACAAG